GUGACUGCGUACCUUUUGUAUAAUGGGUCAGCGACUUAUAUUCUGUAGCAAGGUUAACCGUAUAGGGGAGCCGCAGGGAAACCGAGUCUUAACUGGGCGUUAAGUUGCAGGGUAUAGACCCGAAACCCGGUGAUCUAGCCAUGGGCAGGUUGAAGGUUGGGUAACACUAACUGGAGGACCGAACCGACUAAUGUUGAAAAAUUAGCGGAUGACUUGUGGCUGGGGGUGAAAGGCCAAUCAAACCGGGAGAUAGCUGGUUCUCCCCGAAAGCUAUUUAGGUAGCGCCUCGUGAAUUCAUCUUCGGGGGUAGAGCACUGUUUCGGCUAGGGGGUCAUCCCGACUUACCAACCCGAUGCAAACUACGAAUACCGAAGAAUGUUAUCACGGGAGACACACGGCGGGUGCUAACGUCCGUCGUGAAGAGGGAAACAACCCAGACCGCCAGCUAAGGUCCCAAAGUCAUGGUUAAGUGGGAAACGAUGUGGGAAGGCACAGACAGCCAGGAUGUUGGCUUAGAAGCAGCCAUCAUUUAAAGAAAGCGUAAUAGCUCACUGGUCGAGUCGGCCUGCGCGGAAGAUGUAACGGGGCUAAACCAUGCACCGAAGCUGCGGCAGCGACGCUUAUGCGUUGUUGGGUAGGGGAGCGUUCUGUAAGCCUGCGAAGGUGACCUGUGAGGGUUGCUGGAGGUAUCAGAAGUGCGAAUGCUGACAUAAGUAACGAUAAAGCGGGUGAAAAGCCCGCUCGCCGGAAGACCAAGGGUUCCUGUCCAACGUUAAUCGGGGCAGGGUGAGUCGACCCCUAAGGCGAGGCCGAAAGGCGUAGUCGAUGGGAAACAGGUUAAUAUUCCUGUACUUGGUGUUACUGCGAAGGGGGGACGGAGAAGGCUAUGUUAGCCGGGCGACGGUUGUCCCGGUUUAAGCAUGUAGGCUGGUUAUCCAGGCAAAUCCGGAUAAUCAAGGCUGAGGUGUGAUGACGAGGCACUACGGUGCUGAAGUAACAAAUGCCCUGCUUCCAGGAAAAGCCUCUAAGCAUCAGGUAACACGAAAUCGUACCCCAAACCGACACAGGUGGUCAGGUAGAGAAUACCAAGGCGCUUGAGAGAACUCGGGUGAAGGAACUAGGCAAAAUGGUGCCGUAACUUCGGGAGAAGGCACGCUGGUGUGUAGGUGAAGUCCCUGCGGAUGGAGCUGAGACCAGUCGAAGAUACCAGCUGGCUGCAACUGUUUAUUAAAAACACAGCACUGUGCAAACACGAAAGUGGACGUAUACGGUGUGACGCCUGCCCGGUGCCGGAAGGUUAAUUGAUGGGGUUAUCCGUAAGGAGAAGCUCUUGAUCGAAGCCCCGGUAAACGGCGGCCGUAACUAUAACGGUCCUAAGGUAGCGAAAUUCCUUGUCGGGUAAGUUCCGACCUGCACGAAUGGCGUAAUGAUGGCCAGGCUGUCUCCACCCGAGACUCAGUGAAAUUGAACUCGCUGUGAAGAUGCAGUGUACCCGCGGCAAGACGGAAAGACCCCGUGAACCUUUACUAUAGCUUGACACUGAACAUUGAGCCUUGAUGUGUAGGAUAGGUGGGAGGCUUUGAAGCGUGGACGCCAGUCUGCGUGGAGCCAACCUUGAA
rnacentral:rRNA from 1 species